UACAGCUGUCAACAUUGUGAGACGUUGUC
rnacentral:sRNA from 1 species